rnacentral:lncRNA from 1 species
GCACUCUAUCUCUUAAGGAGCUGUGAUGAAGACCAAGACAAACAGUAGAUUAACAGUGCUACCUUUUAUAAGGCUGAUUAGUUCCUAAAAUAUGCUGAAAGGAAACAAAACCAAAAAGAAAAAAGAGUGGAAAGGGGGGUGAGACAGAAACCUUUGUCGGCAGAGUCUCAUUCCAUCACCCAGGCUGGAGUGCAGCGGCGUGAUCUUGGCAACCUCCACCUCCCAGGCUCAAGAAAUCCUCCCACCUCAGCCUCCCAAUAGCUGGAUCUACAGGCGUACACCACCACAAUCAGCUGUAUUUUUUGUAGAGACUGGGUUUCGCCAUGUUGCCCAGGGUGGUCAUGAACUUGUGAGCUCAAGUGAUCUGCCCGCCUCAGCCUCCCAAAGUGCUGGGAUUACAGGCAUGAGCCACCGCCCCUGGCCUAAUAAAAUUUAUUUUUAAAAAAGGACCUAUGGCGAAUCAUUUUUACAAAUAAAAUCUAUAGUCAAGGUGCAGUAUGGGAACAGCAUUUUAC